rnacentral:rRNA from 1 species
AUGAACGCUGGCGGCGUGGAUAAGGCAUGCAAGUCGAAUGGGUUUAGACCCAUGGCGAACGAGGUAGUAAUACAUAGGUAACGCACCCCGAAGUCGGGCAUAACUAGUCGAAAGAUUAGAUAAUUCUCGAUAGUCUCUUCGGAGUAAAGAUUUAUCGCUUUGGGAGCGGCCUAUGAAGUAUCAGCUAGUUGGUAAGGUAAUGGCUUACCAAGGCUAUGACGCUUAGGGGACCUGAGAGGGUGACCCCCACCGAUGGAACUGAGACACGGUCCAUACACCUACGGGUGGCUGCAGUCGAGAAUCUUCCGCAAUGGACGAAAGUCUGACGGAGCGACGCCGCGUGGUCGAUGAAGUCCUUCGGGACGUAAAGACCUUUUAUAGGGGAGAAAGUUUAUUGAUAGUACCCUAUGAAUAAGAGGUUGCUAAACUCGU